GACGAACGCUGGCGGCGUGCUUAACACAUGCAAGUCGAACGGAAAGGCCCUGCUUUUGUGGGGUGCUCGAGUGGCGAACGGGUGAGUAACACGUGAGUAACCUGCCCUUGACUUUGGGAUAACUUCAGGAAACUGGGGCUAAUACCGGAUAGGAGCUCCUGCUGCAUGGUGGGGGUUGGAAAGUUUCGGCGGUUGGGGAUGGACUCGCGGCUUAUCAGCUUGUUGGUGGGGUAGUGGCUUACCACGUCUUUGAGGGGUAGCCGGCCUGAGAGGGUGGCCGGCCACAUUGGGACUGAGGUACGGCCCAGUCUCCUACGGGAGGCAGCGGUGGGGAAUAUGACACAAUAGGGGGGAGCCUGAUGCAACGACGCCGCGUGCGGAAUGCCGGCCUUCUGGUUGUAAACCGCUUUCGCCUGUGACGAGGCGUGAGUGACGGUAAUGAGUAAAGAAGCACCGGCUAACUACGUG
rnacentral:rRNA from 1 species